rnacentral:rRNA from 1 species
UACGUAGGGGCCUAGCGUUGUCCGGAAUUAUUGGGCGUAAAGAGCUCGUAGGCGGUUCGGCAAGUCGGAUGUGAAAUCUCCACGCUUAACGUGGAGGGGCCAUUCGAAACUGCUGUGACUCGAGUCCGGUAGGGGGAGUGUGGAAUUCCCGGUGUAGUGGUGAAAUGCGUAGAGAUCGGGAGGAACACCUGUGGCGAAGGCGGCCGACUGGGCCGACCCUGACGCUGAGGCGCGAAGGCGUGGGGGAGCG